rnacentral:rRNA from 1 species
CCUACGGGAGGCAGCAGUGAGGAAUAUUGGGCAAUGGACGAGAGUCUGAACCAGCCAAGUAGCGUGAAGGAUGACUGCCCUAUGGGUUGUAAACUUCUUUUAUAUGGGAAUAAAAUGUUCCACGUGUGGGAUUUUGUAUGUACCAUAUGAAUAAGGAUCGGCUAACUCCGUGCCAGCAGCCGCGGUAAUACGGAGGAUCCGAGCGUUAUCCGGAUUUAUUGGGUUUAAAGGGAGCGUAGGUGGAUUGUUAAGUCAGUUGUGAAAGUUUGCGGCUCAACCGUAAAAUUGCAGUUGAAACUGGCAGUCUUGAGUACAGUAGAGGUGGGCGGAAUUCGUGGUGUAGCGGUGACAUGCUUAGAUAUCACGAAGAACUCCGAUUGCGAAGGCAGCUCACUGGACUGCAACUGACACUGAGGCUCGAAAGUGUGGGUAUCAAACAGGAUUAGCUACCCUUGUAGUC